ACUAUCUCAGCAUGAAUACAUAGUGCUGUGAGGCGAACCGGGGGAACUGAAACAUCUAAGUACCCCGAGGAAAAGAAAUCAACCGAGAUUCCCCCAGUAGCGGCGAGCGAACGGGGAACAGCCCAGAGCCUGAAUCAGCUUGUGUGUCAGUGGAACGGUCUGGAAAGGCCGGCGAUACAGGGUGACAGCCCCGUACACGAAGGCACACAGGCUGUGAGCUCGAUGAGUAGGGCGGGACACGUGAUAUCCUGUCUGAAGAUGGGGGGACCAUCCUCCAAGGCUAAAUACUCCUGACUGACCGAUAGUGAACCAGUACCGUGAGGGAAAGGCGAAAAGAACCCCGGCGAGGGGAGUGAAACAGAACCUGAAACCGUGUACGUACAAGCAGUGGGAGCCUUCGUAAGAGGGUGACUGCGUACCUUUUGUAUAAUGGGUCAGCGACUUAUAUUCUGUAGCAAGGUUAACCGUAUAGGGGAGCCGAAGGGAAACCGAGUCUUAAUUGGGCGUUAAGUUGCAGGGUAUAGACCCGAAACCCGGUGAUCUAGCCAUGGGCAGGUUGAAGGUUGGGUAACACUAACUGGAGGACCGAACCGACUAAUGUUGAAAAAUUAGCGGAUGACCUGUGGCUGGGGGUGAAAGGCCAAUCAAACCGGGAGAUAGCUGGUUCUCCCCGAAAGCUAUUUAGGUAGCGCCUCGUGAACUCAUCUUCGGGGGUAGAGCACUGUUUCGGCUAGGGGGCCAUCCCGGCUUACCAACCCGAUGCAAACUACGAAUACCGAAGAAUGUUAUCACGGGAGACACACGGCGGGUGCUAACGUCCGUCGUGAAGAGGGAAACAACCCAGACCGCCAGCUAAGGUCCCAAAGUCAUGGUUAAGUGGGAAACGAUGUGGGAAGGCACAGACAGCCAGGAUGUUGGCUUAGAAGCAGCCAUCAUUUAAAGAAAGCGUAAUAGCUCACUGGUCGAGUCGGCCUGCGCGGAAGAUGUAACGGGGCUAAACCAUGCACCGAAGCUGCGGCAGCGACACUAUGUGUUGUUGGGUAGGGGAGCGUUCUGUAAGCCUGUGAAGGUGUGCUGUGAGGCAUGCUGGAGGUAUCAGAAGUGCGAAUGCUGACAUAAGUAACGAUAAAGCGGGUGAAAAGCCCGCUCGCCGGAAGACCAAGGGUUCCUGUCCAACGUUAAUCGGGGCAGGGUGAGUCGACCCCUAAGGCGAGGCCGAAAGGCGUAGUCGAUGGGAAACAGGUUAAUAUUCCUGUACUUGGUGUUACUGCGAAGGGGGGACGGAGAAGGCUAUGUUGGCCGGGCGACGGUUGUCCCGGUUUAAGCGUGUAGGUGUGUGUUCCAGGUAAAUCCGGUUCACUUUAACACUGAGGCGUGAUGACGAGGCACUACGGUGCUGAAGUAACAAAUGCCCUGCUUCCAGGAAAAGCCUCUAAGCAUCAGGUAACAUCAAAUCGUACCCCAAACCGACACAGGUGGUCAGGUAGAGAAUACCAAGGCGCUUGAGAGAACUCGGGUGAAGGAACUAGGCAAAAUGGUGCCGUAACUUCGGGAGAAGGCACGCUGACAUGUAGGUGAAGCCCCUGCGGGUGGAGCUGAAGUCAGUCGAAGAUACCAGCUGGCUGCAACUGUUUAUUAAAAACACAGCACUGUGCAAACACGAAAGUGGACGUAUACGGUGUGACGCCUGCCCGGUGCCGGAAGGUUAAUUGAUGGGGUUAUCGCAAGAGAAGCUCCUGAUCGAAGCCCCGGUAAACGGCGGCCGUAACUAUAACGGUCCUAAGGUAGCGAAAUUCCUUGUCGGGUAAGUUCCGACCUGCACGAAUGGCGUAAUGAUGGCCAGGCUGUCUCCACCCGAGACUCAGUGAAAUUGAACUCGCUGUGAAGAUGCAGUGUACCCGCGGCAAGACGGAAAGACCCCGUGAACCUUUACUACAGCUUGACACUGAACAUUGAGCCUUGAUGUGUAGGAUAGGUGGGAGGCUUUGAAGCGUGGACGCCAGUCUGCGUGGAGCCAACCUUGAAAUACCACCCUUUAAUGUUUGAUGUUCUAACCUGGCGCCCUAAUCGGGCGUGGGGACAGUGUCUGGUGGGUAGUUUGACUGGGGCGGUCUCCUCCCAAAGUGUAACGGAGGAGCACGAAGGUCAGCUAAUCCUGGUCGGACAUCAGGAGGUUAGUGCAAUGGCAUAAGCUGGCUUGACUGCGAGAGUGACGGCUCGAGCAGGUGCGAAAGCAGGUCAUAGUGAUCCGGUGGUUCUGUAUGGAAGGGCCAUCGCUCAACGGAUAAAAGGUACUCCGGGGAUAACAGGCUGAUACCGCCCAAGAGUUCAUAUCGACGGCGGUGUUUGGCACCUCGAUGUCGGCUCAUCACAUCCUGGGGCUGAAGUAGGUCCCAAGGGUAUGGCUGUUCGCCAUUUAAAGUGGUACGCGAGCUGGGUUUAGAACGUCGUGAGACAGUUCGGUCCCUAUCUGCCGUGGGCGCUGGAGAAUUGAGGGGGGCUGCUCCCAGUACGAGAGGACCGGAGUGGACGCAUCACUGGUGUUCGGGUUGUCAUGCCAAUGGCACUGCCCGGUAGCUAAAUGCGGAAGAGAUAAGUGCUGAAAGCAUCUAAGCACGAAACUUGCCCCGAGAUGAGUUCUCCCUGAGACUAUAAGUCUCCUGAAGGAACGUUGAAGACGACGACGUUGAUAGGCCGGGUGUGUAAGCGCAGCGAUGCGUUGAGCUAACCGGUACUAAUGAACCGUGAGGCUUAACCUU
rnacentral:rRNA from 1 species